GCAGUAGCCGCGGGAAUACAGAGGGUGCGAGCGUUAAUCGGAUUUACUGGGCGUAAAGCGUGCGUAGGCGGCUAAUUGAGUCGGAUGUGAAAUCCCCGAGCUUAACUUGGGAAUUGCAUUCGAUACUGGUUAGCUAGAGUGUGGGAGAGGAUGGUAGAAUUCCAGGUGUAGCGGUGAAAUGCGUAGAGAUCUGGAGGAAUACCGAUGGCGAAGGCAGCCAUCUGGCCUAACACUGACGCUGAGGUACGAAAGCAUGGGGAGCAAACAGGAUUAGAUACCCCAGUAGUCCCUGUCUCUUAUAC
rnacentral:rRNA from 1 species